GCCUGGGUGACUCAGUCGGUUAGGCAUCUGACUUCAGCUCAGACCAUGAUGUCGUGGUCCGUGGGUUCGAACCCCAUGUCAGGCU
rnacentral:tRNA from 1 species